rnacentral:rRNA from 1 species
AGUCGAGGGGCAGCGGGGGUGAUGGCUUGCCAUCGCCUGCCGGCGACCGGCGCACGGGUGAGUAACACGUAUGCAACCUGCCCGCCACAGGGGGAUAAGCGGAAGAAAUUCCGUCUAAUACCGCGUGACGCGGCGCCGGGGCAUCCCGGUGCCGCCAAAGGGAUUACCGGUGGCGGAUGGGCAUGCGGCGCAUUAGCUAGUCGGCGGGGUAACGGCCCACCGAGGCGACGAUGCGUAGGGGUUCUGAGAGGAAGGUCCCCCACACUGGUACUGAGACACGGACCAGACUCCUACGGGAGGCAGCAGUGAGGAAUAUUGGUCAAUGGCCGAGAGGCUGAACCAGCCAAGUCGCGUGAGGGAAGAAUGUCCUAUGGAUUGUAAACCUCUUUUGUCAGGGAGCAAAGUCACCCACGUGUGGGUGUUGGAGAGUACCUGAAGAAAAAGCAUCGGCUAACUCCGUGCCAGCAGCCGCGGUAAUACGGAGGAUGCGAGCGUUAUCCGGAUUUAUUGGGUUUAAAGGGUGCGUAGGCGGGUUAUCAAGUCAGCGGUAAAAUCGUGGAGCUCAACUCCAUCCAGCCGUUGAAACUGAUGAUCUUGAGUGGGCGAGAAGUAUGCGGAAUGCGUGGUGUAGCGGUGAAAUGCAUAGAUAUCACGCAGAACUCCGAUUGCGAAGGCAGCAUACCGGCGCCCGACUGACGCUGAAGCACGAAAGCGUGGGU